UACGUAGGGUGCGAGCGUUAAUCGGAAUUACUGGGCGUAAAGUGUGCGCAGGCGGCUUCGCAAGUCGAGUGUGAAAUCCCCGAGCUUAACUUGGGAAUUGCGCUCGAAACUACGGAGCUGGAGUGUGGCAGAGGAGAGUGGAAUUUCGUGUGUAGGGGUGAAAUCCGUAAAUAUACGAAGGAACGCCAAAAGCGAAGGCAGCUCUCUGGGUCCCUACCGACGCUGGGGUGCGAAAGCAUGGGGAGCGAACAGG
rnacentral:rRNA from 1 species